UACAGAGGGUGCAAGCGUUGUUCGGAAUUAUUGGGCGUAAAGGGCGCGUAGGCGGUGCGGUAAGUCACCUGUGAAAUCUCCUGGCUCAACUGGGAGCUUGCAGGCGAAACUGCCGUGCUGGAGUGUGGGAGAGGUGAGUGGAAUUCCCGGUGUAGCGGUGAAAUGCGUAGAUAUUGGGAGGAACACCAGUGGCGAAGGCGGCUCACUGGACCGGAACUGACGCUGAGGCGCGAAAGCGUGGGGAGCAAACGGG
rnacentral:rRNA from 1 species